rnacentral:misc_RNA from 1 species
AAGAAGUUUCAGAUUUUAUUUUAUUUUUUUUUGAAUUUGCAACACGCGGGCUCGACGCGAACAACGGAGAGAAGAAUCACUCGCGAAGAUAAAAAGAAGAGAAAUGAACGCGGUCGGAAGAAACAAGAGCAGAUAAAACGAAGAACUGACGGAAUCAGGUGAAAGCUGUAGAGAACGAGAUAUCGAUUAAUCGUGCAGCGCUGUACAACUGGGGCUGUGUAUCGUCGAGGUACACAGAUUCUUCAGCAUCUGUACAAACAAAAAGCACUGAUUUCUCGGAAACCCAUCUUCAAAAGUGGAG